GAUGAACGCUGGCGGCGUGCCUAAUACAUGCAAGUCGAGCGAACGGACGAGAAGCUUGCUUCUCUGAUGUUAGCGGCGGACGGGUGAGUAACACGUGGAUAACCUACCUAUAAGACUGGGAUAACUUCGGGAAACCGGAGCUAAUACCGGAUAAUAUUUUGAACCGCAUGGUUCAAAAGUAAAAGACGGUCUUGCUGUCACUUAUAGAUGGAUCCGCGCUGCAUUAGCUAGUUGGUAAGGUAACGGCUUACCAAGGCAACGAUGCAUAGCCGACCUGAGAGGGUGAUCGGCCACACUGGAACUGAGACACGGUCCAGACUCCUACGGGAGGCAGCAGUAGGGAAUCUUCCGCAAUGGGCGAAAGCCUGACGGAGCAACGCCGCGUGAGUGAUGAAGGUCUUCGGAUCGUAAAACUCUGUUAUUAGGGAAGAACAUAUGUGUAAGUAACUGUGCACAUCUUGACGGUACCUAAUCAGAAAGCCACGGCCAACUACGUG
rnacentral:rRNA from 1 species